rnacentral:rRNA from 1 species
GACGAACGCUGGCGGCGUGCUUAACACAUGCAAGUCGAACGGAAAGGCCUUUUCGGAGGUACUCGAGUGGCGAACGGGUGAGUAACACGUGGGUGAUCUGCCCUGCACUCUUGGAUAAGCCUGGGAAACUUGGUCUAAUACCGGAUAGGACCGCACUUUAGUGUGUGUGGUUGAAAGUUUUUUCGGUGUAGGAUGAGCCCGCGGCCUAUCAGCUUGUUGGUGGGGUAAUGGCCUACCAAGGCGGCGACGGGUAGCCGGACUGAGAGGUUGGUCGGCCACAUUGGGACUGAGAUACGGCCCAGACUCCUACGGGAGGCAGCAGUGGGGAAUAUUGCACAAUGGGCGCAAGCCUGAUGCAGCGACGCCGCGUGGGGGAUGACGGCCUUCGGGUUGUAAACUCCUUUCGCCAGGGACGAAGCGUUUUGUGACGGUACCUGGAGAAGAAGCACCGGCUAACUACGUG